rnacentral:rRNA from 1 species
UGCAAGUCGAGCGGUAACAGAAAGUAGCUUGCUACUUUGCUGACGAGCGGCGGACGGGUGAGUAAUGCUUGGGAACAUGCCUUGAGGUGGGGGACAACAGUUGGAAACGACUGCUAAUACCGCAUAAUGUCUACGGACCAAAGGGGGCUUCGGCUCUCGCCUUUAGAUUGGCCCAAGUGGGAUUAGCUAGUUGGUGAGGUAAUGGCUCACCAAGGCAACGAUCCCUAGCUGGUUUGAGAGGAUGAUCAGCCACACUGGAACUGAGACACGGUCCAGACUCCUACGGGAGGCAGCAGUGGGGAAUAUUGCACAAUGGGCGAAAGCCUGAUGCAGCCAUGCCGCGUGUGUGAAGAAGGCCUUCGGGUUGUAAAGCACUUUCAGUCAGGAGGAAAGGGUGUGAGUUAAUACCUCACAUCUGUGACGUUACUGACAGAAGAAGCACCGGCUAACUCCGUGCCAGCAGCCGCGGUAAUACGGAGGGUGCGAGCGUUAAUCGGAAUUACUGGGCGUAAAGCGUACGCAGGCGGUUUGUUAAGCGAGAUGUGAAAGCCCCGGGCUCAACCUGGGAACUGCAUUUCGAACUGGCAAACUAGAGUGUGAUAGAGGGUGGUAGAAUUUCAGGUGUAGCGGUGAAAUGCGUAGAGAUCUGAAGGAAUACCGAUGGCGAAGGCAGCCACCUGGGUCAACACUGACGCUCAUGUACGAAAGCGUGGGGAG